GACGAACGCUGGCGGCGUGCUUAACACAUGCAAGUCGAACGAUGAAGCUAGAGCUUGCUCUGGUGAAUUAGUGGCGAACGGGUGAGUAACACGUGAGUAACCUGCCCCGAACUCUGGGAUAACUGCUGGAAACGGUAGCUAAUACUGGAUACGACCUACGAAGGCAUCUUCUGUAGGUGGAAAGAAUUUCGGUUCGGGAUGGACUCGCGGCCUAUCAGCUUGUUGGUGAGGUAAUGGCUCACCAAGGCGACGACGGGUAGCCGGCCUGAGAGGGGGGGCGGCCGCGCUGGGACUGAGACACGGCCCAGACUCCUACGGGAGGCAGCAGUGGGGAAUAUUGCACAAUGGGCGCAAGCCUGAUGCAGCAACGCCGCGUGAGGGAUGACGGCCUUCGGGUUGUAAACCUCUUUUAGUAGGGAAGAAGCGAAAGUGACGGUACCUGCAGGAAAAGCACCGGUUAACUACGUGCCAGCCGCCGCGGUAA
rnacentral:rRNA from 1 species